GUCAGAGUCUGCAGACAUCCGGGAAGAGCCUCACCUCGUUUGACCCUGAACGCUGGCCCAGAGCCCGGCCGGGACUCGCUGCUGCCUCCCGGCGGUGGAGGUUGGACAUGCACCACCACGAGUGCCCCCUUCCAGUCAGGCCCUUGUUUAUGAGAUUGACAUGUGUUCGUUUCAUCUUCGUAACAGUACCUCUGAGGAUCACUUUGAUUGUUGCAUGGAGAAUGUAUGUUGGGGUGACGGACAAAUAUCUGAGAGACCAGAGAGGAGGCUACUACAUUUGUCUAGGUAAGGAUACUGGAACAGGCUGCCAUUUCCUAUUCCAGAGGAUCU
ensembl:lncRNA